CAGCAGCCGCGGUAAUACGUAGGGUGCGAGCGUUAAUCGGAAUUACUGGGCGUAAAGCGUGCGCAGGCGGUUCGUUAAGACAGAUGUGAAAUCCCCGGGCUUAACCUGGGAACUGCAUUUGUGACUGGCGAGCUAGAGUAUGGCAGAGGGGGGUAGAAUUCCACGUGUAGCAGUGAAAUGCGUAGAGAUGUGGAGGAACACCGAUGGCGAAGGCAGCCCCCUGGGCCAAUACUGACGCUCAUGCACGAAAGCGUGGGGAGCAAACAGGAUUAGAUACCCCAGUAGUCCCUGUCUCUUAUAA
rnacentral:rRNA from 1 species